UGCCUAAUACAUGCAAGUCGAGCGGACCUUGGCUUUCUUCGGAAAGCCCUUGGUUAGCGGCGGACGGGUGAGUAACACGUAGGCAACCUGCCUGAAGGAUCGGGAUAACUAUCGGAAACGAUAGCUAAGACCGAAUACAUGGUUUCUCCGCAUGGGGAGACUAGGAAACGCGGAGCAAUCUGUGGCCUUUGGAUGGGCCUGCGGCGCAUUAGCUAGUUGGUGAGGUAAUGGCUCACCAAGGCGACGAUGCGUAGCCGACCUGAGAGGGUGAACGGCCACACUGGGACUGAGACACGGCCCAGACUCCUACGGGAGGCAGCAGUAGGGAAUCUUCCGCAAUGGACGCAAGUCUGACGGAGCAACGCCGCGUGAGUGAUGAAGGUUUUCGGAUCGUAAAGCUC
rnacentral:rRNA from 1 species